rnacentral:sRNA from 1 species
CUAUAGUGUGUGAGGGAUAGCAGUGAAAAGCCCACAGGCCUCAGGCCGAGGACUUGAAGCGGAUAGCCCGGCCCCUU